UACGUAGGGUGCGAGCGUUGUCCGGAAUUAUUGGGCGUAAAGAGCUUGUAGGCGGUUUGUCGCGUCUGCUGUGAAAAUCCGGGGCUCAACCCCGGACUUGCAGUGGGUACGGGCAGACUAGAGUGUGGUAGGGAGACUGGAAUUCCUGGUGUAGCGGUGAAAUGCGCAGAUAUCAGGAGGAACACCGAUGGCGAAGGCAGGUCUCUGGGCCACUACUGACGCUGAGAAGCGAAAGCAUGGGAGCGAACAGG
rnacentral:rRNA from 1 species